AGAGUUUGAUCCUGGCUCAGAACGAACGCUGGCGGCAGGCCUAACACAUGCAAGUCGAGCGAGAAGGUACCUUCGGGUACUGGACAGCGGCGGACGGGUGAGUAACGCGUGGGAAUAUACCUUUCGGUGGGGGACAACAGUUGGAAACGACUGCUAAUACCGCAUACGCCCUUUGGGGGAAAGAUUUAUCGCCGAGAGAUUAGCCCGCGUUAGAUUAGGUAGUUGGUGAGGUAACGGCUCACCAAGCCGACGAUCUAUAGCUGGUCUGAGAGGAUGAUCAGCCACACUGGGACUGAGACACGGCCCAGACUCCUACGGGAGGCAGCAGUGGGGAAUAUUGCGCAAUGGAGGAAACUCUGACGCAGCCAUGCCGCGUGAGUGAAGAAGGCCUUAGGGUUGUAAAGCUCUUUCAACUGUGAGGAUGAUGACAGUAGCAGUAGAAGAAGCUCCGGCUAACUUCGUGCCAGCAGCCGCGGUAAUACGAAGGGAGCAAGCGUUGUUCGGAAUUACUGGGCGUAAAGGGCGUGUANGCGGACUGUCCAGUCAGGGGUGAAAUCCCGGGGCUCAACCUCGGAACUGCCUUUGAUACUGACAGUCUANAGUCCGCGAGAGGAUANUGGAAUACCCA
rnacentral:rRNA from 1 species